rnacentral:misc_RNA from 1 species
GUGGUGUUCCCAAUCGGUUCCUUGGAAUUACACCUGCAUAUUUAUGGCAAACUCAACUACAUCAGAUGUCAUCAGUGGACGUGGCAGAAUACCAGAGAUUACUUUCACGGGAGAUUGGUGGCCGGUUAGAUGCUAAAUGUGAUAAGUUAGCUGAUGCAGUUGCUAUUGAUGACAUUGAUAUAUCUGCUGCCAGUCAAAAUUCAGCUGCCAGACUUCCAGAGAGGGUGAAGUUGAUCACUGAGGAGAUUGAAAGAGA